rnacentral:rRNA from 1 species
GUGGGGAAUAUUGGGCAAUGGGGGCAACCCUGACCCAGCAACGCCGCGUGAGGGAAGAAGGUUUUCGGAUUGUAAACCUCUGUCCUAUGGGAAGAAGGAAGUGACGGUACCAUAGGAGGAAGCCCCGGCUAACUACGUGCCAGCAGCCGCGGUAAUACGUAGGGGGCGAGCGUUGUCUGGAAUUACUGGGCGUAAAGGGUGCGCAGGUGGCCUGACAAGUCAGAUGUGAAAUACCGAUGCUUAACGUCGGGGCUGCAUUUGAAACUAUGAGGCUGGAGUGCAGGAGAGGGAAGCGGAAUUCCUAGUGUAGCGGUGAAAUGCAUAGAUAUUAGGAGGAACACCAGUGGCGAAGGCGGAUUACUGGACGAUAACUGACGCUGAGGCGCGAAAGCGUGGGGAGCAAACAGGAUUAGAAACCCUGGUAGUCC